rnacentral:rRNA from 1 species
UUGCUGGGCGUAAAGCGUGCGCAGGCGGUUGUGUAAGACAGGUGUGAAAUCCCCGGGCUUAACCUGGGAAUGGCAUUUGUGACUGCACGGCUAGAGUGUGUCAGAGGGGGGUAGAAUUCCACGUGUAGCAGUGAAAUGCGUAGAGAUGUGGAGGAAUACCGAUGGCGAAGGCAGCCCCCUGGGAUAACACUGACGCUCAUGCACGAAAGCGUGGGGGGCAAACAGGAUUAGAUACCCUGGUAGUCCACGCCCUAAACGAUGUCUACUAGUUGUCGGGUCUUAAUUGACUUGGUAACGCAGCUAACGCGUGAAGUAGACCGCCUGGGGAGUACGGUCGCAAGAUUAAAACUCAAAGGAAUUGACGGGGACCCGCACAAGCGGUGGAUGAUGUGGAUUAAUUCGAUGCAACGCGAAAAACCUUACCUACCCUUGACAUGGCUGGAAUCCUUGAGAGAUCAGGGAGUGCUUGAAAGAGAACCAGUACACAGGUGCUGCAUGGCUGUCGUCAGCUCGUG